AUUGAGAAAAAUCAGUACCAUACUGUAAGAAAAAUACACAAAUCACAAUUUAAGGCUAGUAAUACCAAUCUUGCAAGAGUAAGUAUAAAAUCACAACCAAAAUUCCCAAAAGAAGAACAAUCAGCAUGGUAUGGGAAUGAAACAUUAGCACCAAGAAUCAAAGUAAAAGGGCACGGAGCUCAUAGAACAACAUGCAAGUAGGAAAAUACAGAUACAAACAUGUAGGGUUAGGGGUUUUCAUCAAAUUUUAACACAAUACGGAGCUCAUAGAAGAACGUGCAAGCAGGCAAACACAGAUACAAACAUGUAAGGUAAGGGGUUUUCAUCAAAUGUUAACAUAAUACUUAGAAGUAGUACCGAAAACCAGGGAUUAAUGGUAGAGACCAGAAAAGUAGAAUCUUUUAGAAAGGGGGGUUAUGAAAUCAUGGAAAUAGAAAUUACAGUAUGAAGCCCAAGUCAUCAAAGAAACAAACAAACAAGUAAAAUAAACAACCUAAACGACUAUGUAGCACUCAGAAACAGUAGAAGAAACAGUUUUGAAGAAAUGGUUAGAAACCCUAGUCUGGAAGGGUCGAAAAAUUUGAAAUACUCGAAGAAACUAAGUAGAUGUAGAGUAGAAAAUAAGGAAAUCAAACUGAAAGUCAUUUAAAAGAGGAGAGAUUAAAGAGAAAAGUUAGGGUUUUUAAAUAGAUUAUGGAAACGAAGAACCUGGUUGUGAAACUCGUAUACAACGUCGUAGAAGGCAUCCUCGUUCAAGGAUCAUCGGAAAAACACCGGAAACAGACCCCAAAAGAGAGAUUCUGUGACCGUCUUCCAUGGAGGAAGCUGCUAGGCUUCAAGGUUGAGAGAAAACCAUGAUACAGGGACGCCAUGGUUGCUGGGAAUCGAGAGGAGUGAGGGAGGAGUGAGUUGAUGUGGCGAUGGAAGCCAUGUGAGAACUAGAAGGUUCUAAGGAUAUGUAGGUUUAGAGAGAAUCUGAGAGUGAAAGGGGAU
rnacentral:lncRNA from 1 species